AGUGGACGCUGGCGGUAGGCCUAACACAUGCAAGUCGAACGGCAGCACAGUAAGAGCUUGCUCUUACGGGUGGCGAGUGGCGGACGGGUGAGGAAUACAUCGGAAUCUACUUUUUCGUGGGGGAUAACGUAGGGAAACUUACGCUAAUACCGCAUACGACCUACGGGUGAAAGCAGGGGAUCUUCGGACCUUGCGCGAUUGAAUGAGCCGAUGUCGGAUUAGCUAGUUGGCGGGGUAAAGGCCCACCAAGGCGACGAUCCGUAGCUGGUCUGAGAGGAUGAUCAGCCACACUGGAACUGAGACACGGUCCAGACUCCUACGGGAGGCAGCAGUUGGGAAUAUUGGACAAUGGGCGCAAGCCUGAUCCAGCCAUACCGCGUGGGUGAAGAAGGCCUUCGGGUUGUAAAGCCCUUUUGUUGGGAAAGAAAAGCAGCAGGUUAAUACCCCGCUGUUCUGACGGUACCCAAAGAAUAAGCACCGGCUAACUUCGUG
rnacentral:rRNA from 1 species